rnacentral:rRNA from 1 species
UAGGGAAUAUUGGACAAUGGGGGCAACCCUGAUCCAGCCAUGCCGCGUGAGUGAAGAAGGCACUCGGGUUGUAAAGCUCUUUUGUCCGGAAAGAAAAGCUUCGGGUUAAUACCCCGGGGUUCUGACGGUACCGGAAGAAUAAGCACCGGCUAACUUCGUGCCAGCAGCCGCGGUAAUACGAAGGGUGCAAGCGUUACUCGGAAUUACUGGGCGUAAAGCGUGCGUAGGUGGUUGUUUAAGUCUGAUGUGAAAGCCCUGGGCUCAACCUGGGAAUGGCAUUGGAAACUGGGCAGCUAGAGUGCGGUAGAGGGUAGUGGAAUGCCCGGUGUAGCAGUGAAAUGCGUAGAGAUCGGGAGGAACAUCUGUGGCGAAGGCGACUGCCUGGACCAGCACUGACACUGAGGCACGAAAGCGUGGGGAGCAAACA